rnacentral:rRNA from 1 species
GACGAACGCUGGCGGUGUGCUUAACACAUGCAAGUGGUGCGACGAACCAGAGCUUGCUCUGGGGCAAAGCCGCGAACGGGUGAGUAACACGUUGGUAAUCUACCCCGAUGACCGGGACAACCCGAGGAAACUCGGGCUAAUACCGGAUGUUGUGCGGAGACAUAAGUCUCUUCACUAAAGGUAGCUUCGGCUUCCGCAUUUGGCGGGGCCCGCGGCCCAUUAGCUUGUUGGUGGGGUCAAGGCCUACCAAGGCAACGAUGGGUAGCUGGUCUGAGAGGACGAACAGCCACACUGGGACUGAGACACGGCCCAGACUCCUACGGGAGGCAGCAGUGGGGAAUCUUGCGCAAUGCGCGAAAGCGUGACGCAGCAACACCGCGUGAGGGAAGAAGGCCUUAGGGUUGUAAACCUCUUUCAGAUGGGACGAAGGUUCUCCGGUGAAUAGCCGAGAGGAUUGACGGUACCGUCAGAAGAAGCUCCGGCUAACUACGUG